GGCCAGACUCCUACGGGAGGCAGCAGUGGGGAAUAUUGCACAAUGGGGGAAACCCUGAUGCAGCGACGCCGCGUGAGUGAAGAAGUAUUUCGGUACGUAAGGCUCUAUCAGCAGGGAAGAAAAUGACGGUACCUGACCAAGAAGCCCCGGCUAACUACGUGCCAGCAGCCGCGGUAAUACGUAGGGGGCAAGCGUUAUCCGGAUUUACUGGGUGUAAAGGGAGCGUAGACGGCAUGGCAAGUCAGAUGUGAAAGCCCGGGGCUCAGCCCCGGGACUGCAUUUGAAACUGUCAGGCUGGAGUGCAGGAGAGGUAAGUGGAAUUCCUAGUGUAGCGGUGAAAUGCGUAGAUAUUAGGAGGAACACCAGUGGCGAAGGCGGCUUACUGGACUGUAACUGACGUUGAGGCUCGAAAGCGUGGGGAGCAAACAGGAUUAGAUACCCCAGUA
rnacentral:rRNA from 1 species